rnacentral:rRNA from 2 species
GCCUGAUGCAGCGACGCCGCGUGAGGGAUGACGGCCUUCGGGUUGUAAACCUCUUUCAGUAGGGAAGAAGCGAAAGUGACGGUACCUGCAGAAGAAGCGCCGGCUAACUACGUGCCAGCAGCCGCGGUAAUACGUAGGGCGCAAGCGUUAUCCGGAAUUAUUGGGCGUAAAGAGCUCGUAGGCGGUUUGUCGCGUCUGCCGUGAAAGUCCGGGGCUCAACUCCGGAUCUGCGGUGGGUACGGGCAGACUAGAGUGAUGUAGGGGAGACUGGAAUUCCUGGUGUAGCGGUGAAAUGCGCAGAUAUCAGGAGGAACACCGAUGGCGAAGGCAGGUCUCUGGGCAUUAACUGACGCUGAGGAGCGAAAGCAUGGGGAGCGAACAGGAUUAGAUACCCUGGUAGUCCAUGCCGUAAACGUUGGGCACUAGGUGUGGGGGACAUUCCACGUUUUCCGCGCCGUAGCUAACGCAUUAAGUGCCCCGCCUGGGGAGUACGGCCGCAAGGCUAAAACUCAAAGGAAUUGACGGGGGCCCGCACAAGCGGCGGAGCAUGCGGAUUAAUUCGAUGCAACGCGAAGAACCUUACCAAGGCUUGACAUGGGCCGGACCGGGCUGGAAACAGUCCUUCCCCUUUGGG